GACGUAGGGCGCGAGCGUUGUCCGGAUUUAUUGGGCGUAAAGAGCUCGUAGGCGGCUUGUUGCGUCAGCUGUGAAAACCUGCAGCUUAACUGUGGCUUGCGGUCGAUACGGGCAUCACUGGAGUUCGGCAGGGGAGACUGGAAUUCCUGGUGUAGCGGUGAAAUGCGCAGAUAUCAGGAGGAACACCCGGUGGCGGAAGGCGGGUCUCUGGGGCCG
rnacentral:rRNA from 1 species